AUGGGGGCAACCCUGAUCCAGCAAUGCCGCGUGUGUGAAGAAGGCCUUCGGGUUGUAAAGCACUUUUGUCCGGAAAGAAAUCGCGCUGGUUAAUACCUGGCGUGGAUGACGGUACCGGAAGAAUAAGCACCGGCUAACUACGUGCCAGCAGCCGCGGUAAUA
rnacentral:rRNA from 1 species